CAUAGGUAGAGUUAUGUUCUUCCAUCAAGAGGCACAUAAUGUCUGAUCGCAUCUCUUUUUGCAGUGUUGCCAGCAGCUGAUGCUCAAUGCUGUAGGUGCCUUUGUUUUGGAAUAGGUAUCAACUUAGUGGUUUUCCUUUUGGAACAAUUCUCAGUAACAUCUUCAUUUUCUCUUUGACUUACAUGUUAAUUUGAUGUGUCCUUGUUUUGUAGCUGCAGCUGAUAAAUUCUAAUGAACCCGGAGUGAUCAUGUUUAAGACUGAUGCACUGAAAUGCAGAGUAGCUCUUAGUCCCAAAACCAACCAAACGCUUCAGCUAAAAGUGACACCUGAAAAUGCAGGACAGUGGAAACCUGAUGAACUUCAAGUUUUGGAGAAAUUCUUUGAAACAAGAGUUGCAGGACCACCAUUUAAAGCUAAUACGUUAAUAGCCUUCACCAAGCUAUUAGGAGCUCCUACACACAUCCUCAGGGAUUGUGUGCACAUUAUGAAGCUGGAGCUG
rnacentral:lncRNA from 10 species